AUUUACAUAGUAUAAAUAUAAAUACAAUUGAUUUCCAAUCAAAAAAUCUAAAUUAAUUUUAGAGUAAAUA
rnacentral:tRNA from 1 species